rnacentral:misc_RNA from 1 species
AUUUUCCUUUUUUUUUUUUUGUCAAUUCCAUACCAUGUCCUUCAAUCUGUUUAGUUGUCCCUCGAAUUUGUUAAUGGAAAUUUGACUGGGAAUGGUUGCCAUAAAAUUAUUUUUUUGCCAAAUGCAGCACAUGCCAUAUAUUCUUUACGUUAAUAAGUAACAGCUAUUUAAUUUAGAUGAUUAAGAAAAAGCUGUUAAAAUUGAAACCCAAUUGAACACAAAAUCGCACUCUCUCCCUAAUCUUUCCCCUCUACCUGCCACAAUUACUUCAAGAAACCUCACCCAUUUUUUGCCUAUGCUCACCAUUUCAGAAUUUUCCUCAACUAGCUUCUGUAGUUAUCCUUGUCGUCAUCAUCUAUUUUCCUAAAUCUAAACAAACUAUCCAUCUCUCCCAAGCUGCCAAAAUGAUGUCACUUUGCAAGAGAGGUGCAAGAUCAUUGUCUUGAUAAAUUAUAGUCAUUACAUGCUUCUCUUUAGAGAUAAAUAGGCAGACUCAGGCACAUGGAUGCAACUAAUUGAGUUCCGCAAGACCUCUCUCAUUUUCACAAGGAAACCACCAACCUCUAUUGAGAUAUGAAACAAGCUCAAUUCAGAGUAGGUGUUCCCCUUUCCUGUGGAUUUCAUGCUUCUGUUUCCAAGUGCAACUUCUUAUGGGAUAUGUGCUUAUUGAGAUUCUUUUGAUUUAUGCUUCUAACAAGGAAACUACUCAAACUUUGAAACUAGAGUUUCUGUACUUUAAUCAUCAUAAAUCAGAUUUGGAUCCUUACAGGAUUUUAUUGAUUUAUUCGAUGGUUGAUGUUUGAUUUGGGCUUUUUCAUUAAGAAGACAUACAAGCCAGUGUGAUUUGUCUACAAAUGUAACACAGAAGUUCUAAUUUUUAGUUGCGUUGCUGGCAUAAUCAUUAAAGGCACAAGGUACACUAAAACACAAACACAAAGUACUAGGCGCAAGUCAUAGGCAUGUGCUUGAGUAAGGUUAGGCACAAAAAGAAUUUGAUGCAGUAAAAAUUUAAAAUUAAGAUCAACAUAUUAGCUCUAUUUAACCAAAUUGACCAACGUAAACAAUCUUCAAAGCAUCAGUCCAUAGUUAACCAUAUAGUCACAAGGAAAAUACACAAAUCAUUAUAGACUUCACAUUAACAAUUUCUUUUUCUCUAAGACAAUGCUAUGAUCCAAAGCCCACAAGUG